GCAAGUCGAGCGGAGACAGUGAGUAGCUUGCUAUGAGCUGUUUUAGCGGCGGACGGGUGAGUAACGCGUGAGCAACCUUUCCCAGACAGGGGAAUAACACACCGAGAGGUGUACUAAUACCGCAUAAGACCACGGAAUCACAUGGUUCUGAGGUAAAAGAUUUAUCGGUUUGGGGUGGGCUCGCGUCCGAUUAGGUAGUUGGUGAGGUAACGGCCCACCAAGCCGACGAUCGGUAGCCGACCUGAGAGGGUGAUCGGCCACAUUGGGACUGAGACACGGCCCAAACUCCUACGGGAGGCAGCAGUGGGGAAUAUUGGGCAAUGGAGGAAACUCUGACCCAGCAACGCCGCGUGGAGGAAGAAGGUUUUCGGAUCGUAAACUCCUGUCCUUGGAGACGAGUAGAAGACGGUAUCCAAGGAGGAAGCCCCGGCUAACUACGUGCCAGCAGCCGCGGUAAUACGUAGGGGGCAAGCGUUGUCCGGAAUAAUUGGGCGUAAAGGGCGCGUAGGCGGCUCGGUAAGUCUGGAGUGAAAGUCCUGCUUUUAAGGUGGGAAUUGCUUUGGAUACUGUCGGGCUUGAGUGCAGGAGAGGUUAG
rnacentral:rRNA from 1 species